AUUGAACGCUGGCGGCAGGCCUAACACAUGCAAGUCGAACGGCAGCGGGGGGUAGCUUGCUACCCCGCCGGCGAGUGGCGGACGGGUGAGUAAUGCCCGGGGAGCUGCCCAAUCGAGGGGGAUACCAGUUGGAAACGACUGCUAAUACCACAUACGCCCUGAGGGGGAAAGGUGGGGAUCUUCGGACCUACCGCGAUUGGAUGCACCCAGGUGGGAUUAGCUAGUUGGUGAGGUAACGGCUCACCAAGGCGACGAUCUCUAGCUGGUCUGAGAGGAUGACCAGCCACACUGGAACUGAGACACGGUCCAGACUCCUACGGGAGGCAGCAGUGGGGAAUAUUGCACAAUGGGGGAAACCCUGAUGCAGCCAUGCCGCGUGUGUGAAGAAGGCCUUCGGGUUGUAAAGCACUUUCAGCGAGGAGGAAAGGUGGCUAGCUAAUACCUAGUUGCUGUGACGUUACUCGCAGAAGAAGCACCGGCUAACUCCGUGCCAGCCGCCGCGGUAA
rnacentral:rRNA from 1 species